rnacentral:lncRNA from 1 species
AGGAUCCCGUGGCCAGCAUCUGGAUAAGCUCCCAGCUCCCCUAUUUCCAGUGGAACAAAGCUUAUCCACCGUUCCCAUGCGCUCCCAGCCGAAUGUUGAACUCAUCUUCUCCCCAUUCUGUGGAUUGCUCCCGCUAGCCCGGAUAAAUUCAAAUCCCCUGUUCCGUGCGAGAACUAGCAACCUUCUGCCGGACUACUCCCAACCUCAAAUCCCAGUUUCAUGGCUUCCGAUUCUUCUUCCCAAACUUCACGGAAACAGAACACAACAGCUCACAGUUCAUCAUUUCUUCUUCCGAAUCUUUUCCAGAUUCCCCCUUGCGCCCGUGUUCAUCUUCCACGUCAUCUGCAUCAUCUGAACCUUCUUUGGAUCCCAGCUCAGCCGCGUCCAAGAUCCUCUCCGCGUUGAAGAAGCUCCGAUUCCUUCCAUCGCCCACGGACAGCAGCUCACGGAUCCGAACCUGCCUUGUAAUCUUCUUCCACGUGUCUGUUCACAGUAUCCCGAGCUUCACCUCCAACUCCAGCAAUAUCCCAGCCUUCCUUCCCCACAAUUUAUCCUCACGCAUCUUUCGGCAUCUUCUCUCAGCCGUAAGCUUCAACCGCAUUCCGCUUCAUGUCAUCCUUAUCCCCUGUUUUGGAACAGAACCAAGAUCUUCCACUUCAUUUUGGAUUAGCUUCCCAGCAUCCCAGUCGUCCGCCGCGUUAAAGCUUCUCCCCAGCUUCGAGAUCAGCUCAAAUCUUCCGCACAUCCCGUUCGGAACAGAAUUCCAACGCCCACUCUUCUCCACGGUGAAAUGGCUGCAACUCAUCUUCCUCUGCUUCAGAACCAAAUCCCAG